rnacentral:rRNA from 1 species
GAGAAUCUGCCUUCUGGUCGGGGACAACCACUGGAAACGGUGGCUAAUACCGGAUGUGCCGAAGGGUAAAAGAUUAAUUGCCAGAAGAGGAGCUCGCGUCUGAUUAGCUAGUUGGUAGGGUAAAAGCCUACCAAGGCAUCGAUCAGUAGCUGGUCUGAGAGGAUGACCAGCCACACUGGGACUGAGACACGGCCCAGACUCCUACGGGAGGCAGCAGUGGGGAAUUUUCCGCAAUGGGCGAAAGCCUGACGGAGCAAGACCGCGUGAGGGAGGAAGGCUCUUGGGUUGUAAACCUCUUUUCUCAGGGAAGAACACAAUGACGGUACCUGAGGAAUCAGCCUCGGCUAACUCCGUGCCAGCAGCCGCGGUAAUACGGAGGAGGCAAGCGUUAUCCGGAAUUAUUGGGCGUAAAGCGUCCGCAGGUGGCACUUCAAGUCUGUCGUCAAAGACUGGGGCUUAACCCUGGAAAGGCGGUGGAAACUGAAGCGCUAGAGUGCGGUAGGGGUAGAGGGAAUUCCCGGUGUAGCGGUGAAAUGCGUAGAGAUCGGGAAGAACAUCGGUGGCGAAAGCGCUCUACUGGACCGCAACUGACACUCAGGGACGAAAGCUAGGGGAGCGAAUGGGAUUAGAUACCCCAGUAGUCCUAGCCGUA